UGAUAUAUAGCUCAGUGGUGGAGUGCAUGCUUAGCAUGCAUGAGGUCCUGGGUUCAAUCCCCAGUACCUCCA
rnacentral:tRNA from 1 species